GAUGAACGCUGGCGGCGUGCCUAAUACAUGCAAGUCGAGCGAACAGACGAGGAGCUUGCUCCUCUGACGUUAGCGGCGGACGGGUGAGUAACACGUGGGUAACCUACCUAUUAGCCUGGGAUAACUUCGGGAAACCGUAGCUAAUACCGGAUAAUAUAUGAAAUUGCAUGGUUCAUUAUUGAAAGACGCUUUUGCUGCCACACAUAGAUGACUCCCCUUCGCUUUAGCUAGUUGUGAGGGUAACGGCCUACCAAGGCGACGUACCGUACCCGACCUGAGAGGGGGACCGCCCACACUGGAACUGGGACACGGUCCAGACUCCUACGGGAGGCAGCAGUAGGGAAUCUUCGGCAAUGGGCGAAGGCCUGACGGAGCAACGCCGGGUGGGUGAUGAAGGUCUUCGGAUCGUAAAACUCUGUGAUUAGGGAGGAAGAAAGGUGUAAUUAACUAUGCACGUCUUGACGGUACCUAACCAGAAAGCCACGGCUAACUACGUG
rnacentral:rRNA from 1 species